AGUGUUGGAAAAGAUAAGACAGUGUGGGAUAGACUGGAAGAAGACGAAGCAUAAUAAUGCCGACAGAGAGCUGGUGGGAGGGAGAUGUCAAAGCGGGGAGGAAGCCAUCAAGUACCGGUCGGUGUGCAUCUCUCGGGGAGUCGGGGCUGGUGUGAAGGGAAAACGGCCGAGUUGUCAUAUUUUUGGGCAGUGGGCGUGUGCAAGCACCAAAAUGGCUGUUUUAAGACUACACCUCAUACACAACAAGUUGUCCGCGCCAGGACCGACGAGGGGAACACGCGAUCCCCUCGAGACAGACCAUCCUCGCAUGACGGCGGUUGCCACCAGAGACUCACCGAAGCGUCUUGCUGUCUGUAAGACGUCGCUGCGUCCUCAUCACAUGCCGCUCCACGGACGCAUCAGCUAAAACGGCGUGAUGGCAGCACGGCAGGUGAGGGACAGACCGAUGCAGAGUCCGCAUCACCGCAGAUGCUGCCCCGAUCCGCCUUGUUGAUCUCCCGCUCCAUUCUUCAACAAGACCCCAAGAUACUUGAACUCCUCCGCUUGAGCAGGAUCUCAUCUCAAGUGCUUCACACUCAGCCGUGAUCCGCUCCAGCAAGUGUUUCAGAUCGCCGCGCAAUGAAGCCUGGACUGGUUGCCGGCCAAUCGCAUGGCACGUAUAGAAAAACAACCAUCCACUCUCACAUUCACUCCUAUGGACACUUUAAAGUUGAGAGUAAAGAGAAACGUCAGACUUCCUCCACCUUCUGCCAUUGUUUUUUUUUCUAGUGUUGAAGUGACAGAAAACGGGUGACGAGAUGAAAUGUUCAGCAGCAUUCUGCAACGAGUCCCGUAAACGUGACAGCUUUAUAGAUGCCAUGUCUGCUUUGUGUUGUGGUAAAGACUACCAAAACAUAGUUUAUCAGGUGUCAAAGUAAAAGUCAUAACAGCAUUCGAGUGGUACCGCCUGUAAUCUAUUUUAUUUGUCUAAUUUGGGGUAUGACAUUCUAGAUUUCAGGGGGUCCUCGGUUAGCAAAAGCGUUCCGAUCCUACUGUGGUGACGUAACCCAGAUUUGUACAUGAUUGGGAAUGCGCCGUAGUCGAUCACUAACCUGCACUAAUGCAGUUGUACAGUCAGAAUUAGUCUUUGCAAAAAAUAAAACCAUUCUAAGCCAUGAAUGUAAAACAAUCCAAUGAAAAACAGAAAGUAUGGUAGAAACUGGUCGUUCCUUCUUGUGUCACACAUUCUUACAUCAUCAGCGUUAGCUGCUGUUAAGCGGGGUAUAGAUGCACAAAGGGCAAAACAGUUGCGGUUUACCAACAAACCAUGAUAACAUUUCAAACUGGUAAUCGUUAUUAUCGUUACUACUGUAUUUAGUCUAUUCAUGGCCUAAAAGUGCUCCGAAUUUCGCGCUACUUUUCUGAGACGGUCAAUAUGGUGCUCACAAUAAUUACGAUUUCAAUAUACAUAAGUCCAGUGCAUUCACAUUUCAUCCCUCUGCACAGCCAAACUAAAUUACGAAUCAACCAAAUCACGCGCGACUCGAAUUCCACAGCCGACCAUUUGAAAUUACUCAGCUACUUGUGACAAAGGCACGACGAGUCUUUUUGAACGGAAACAUCAAAGCGCAUCUCCAUUCAGCUGCGUCACGCCGGCAUUCAUUAAAAAGCACGCUCGUGUGCUGAUUAAAAUGCCAGAGUGUCCCCCUCCUAGAACCAUCUGAUAGACAUAACCUUUAAGUGGGCCAUUAGGAAUAUAUUAAAAAAAGACUCAUUUCCUGGGAAUGUGUUGCUGGUGAAUGAUUAAAACAGCCCAAACAGGGCAUAGCGAUCCCCUCCCGAAAAGACAUGGACGAGGAGCUAACUCUUGAAAUGGAAUCAUGCCCUGAGUCGGGUGUGGAUUGCAGGCCCCCCGUAAAUCAUCUCAACGCCCCUGAUAUUAUUUUAAAUAUUGAUCAAGGGGCUUGGGCCCUCUGAUCCGAAAUCGUUGCAGCUGAGGAAAGCCAUGCGGCAGGGUAACAUGCAAGACCUUGUAGUGGCUGAUUGAAGGGAAGAGGGGGUGUUGUAAAUUAAAAUGCUGCUGCUUAAUUCAGCAACCAAUCAAUGUUUGCAUAUCUGAAAUGUAAAUGCAGGGGAUCGCCAUCUUGGGAGCCAAUCAAAAAAGGAAAUCAAAUUAAGUUUGGGACUAGCAAUAAGUCAUGAUGACUCCCAAAAGGUGGGCAAAAAAUAUUAUGCAGAUGAGAAUGCAAAGUCACUAUCGGGUCUGAUGAUUUGUUUUCGCUCCUUGAAAGUGAUUUAGCAAAGUUCGAAUGAGGAUUUCCAAACAGUCCGCUACAAUUCAUUAACAUCAUUUACAAGGAGCCUUGACACUCUGCCUGAAUUAGGGAUGAGUAAUCAUAAAAUUAUUGAUAUUUGUUUGCUGCCAAAACAGUCUGCUGGAGUAUUUGUUUUUGGGAUGUACAGUGGCUCCUGUAUCAUAUUUCCCCAUUGAAACAAAUUGAAAUGCCAUUAA